GGCUUCAUAGCUCAGCUGGUUAGAGCGUCGUGCUAAUAACGCGAAGGUCGCGGGUUCGAGAUCCCCCCUGGAGCCA
rfam:Nasonia vitripennis chromosome 4, whole genome shotgun sequence.